GUUACAACCCAACACUCAGCUUGAAUUGAAGCAGAGACGUGGCAGACAGAAGAACAGGACCCAAGUGUCCUUCACCCUGUCUAUCCAGGCAAAAUGAAAAUCAUUCUCUUCAUCUUUGCUGCAGCCCAGCUCCUCUCCUGUUCUGAUUCAGGAAUUCCAUGUGCAAGUUCUCAAUUUGCAUGGAUUGGGAUUGUGAUCAAUGGUACAAUUGCGAAAGUGAAUGAAGAAUUCACGAUGAACAACCUCUUGGCUCUUGUGAAUUGUGAAGUGACAAAGGGCUCCA